GCUUGUCUCAAAGAUUAAGCCAUGCAUGUCUUAGUGUAAAUAACUCUUAUGAAACUGCGAAUGGCUCAUUAAAUCAGUUAUCAAAUACGUGAUGGUCGCCUACUACAUGGAUAACCGUAGUAAUUCUAGAGCUAAUACAUGCAUCAAACCUCGACUUUUUUGGAAGAGGUGUAUUUAUUAGAUGGAAACCAAUGCGGGGCAACCCGGAUUCAGGUGAUUCAUAAUAACUUUCGGAUCGAUCUUCGGAUCGAUGCAUCAUUCAAGUUUCUGCCCUAUCAGCUUUGGAUGGUAGGGUAUUGGCCUACCAUGGCUUUAACGGGUAACGGAGAAUUAGGGUUCGAUUCCGGAGAGGGAGCCUGAGAAACGGCUACCACAUCCAAGGAAGGCAGCAGG
rnacentral:rRNA from 1 species